rnacentral:tRNA from 1 species
CAUUAGCUCAGUUGGUUAGAGCAACCGGCUCAUAACCGGUAGGUCCCGGGUUCGAAUCCCUGAUGGU